GACGAACGCUGGCGGCGUGCUUAACACAUGCAAGUCGAACGGAAAGGCCCUGCUUUUGUGGGGUGCUCGAGUGGCGAAAGGGUGAGUAACACGGGAGUACCCUGCCCUUGACUUUGGGAUAACUUCGGGAAAUUGGGGCUAAUACAGGAUAGGAGCUUCUGCUGCAUGGUGGGGGUUGGACAGUUUCGGCGGGUUGGGAUGGACUCGCGGCUUAGCAGCUUGUUGGGGGGGUACUGGCUUACGAAGGCUUUGGCGGGUAGCCGGCCUGAGAGGGUGACCGGCCACAGUGGGACUGAGAUACGGCCCAGACUCCUACGGGAGGCAGCAGUGGGGAAUAUUGCACAAUGGGCGGAAGCCUGAUGCAGCAACGCCGCGUGCGGGAUGACGGCCUUCGGGUGGUAAACCGCUUUCGCCUGUGACGAAGCGUGAGUGACGGUAAUGGGUAAAGAAGCACCGGCUAACUACGUG
rnacentral:rRNA from 1 species